GAAGAGCGUGAGAAAGGCCGCGGCCGAACCCCGCCGCGUGUUUCCACGCCGAGACACCGAGCUGACCAGGGUGCUCCCGGGCUCAAAAACCCCUUCAGGCGCAGAACAUCGAGGGUGUGAGGUGCUAAAUCAGCGAAAGCAUCGGAUAUUCUCGCAGGCGUGAAAGCGAAAGGCUUUUUGAAAAGCCUGGGAAGCUCUGGGAAGUGCAACGUAAGCAGCAAUUUUGCAGGUUGCAAGUCAAACAUUUGCUCCUUCUGUUCCCCGCGAGUUCGGCUGCUGUGUCAAAAUGAAAGCCCAGGAAAUCCCCCCAAAAAAGUUGCUGCAGAAAUGCAUAAAUAAACGAGAUGAAACAAUCACAGAGCGUGGCACUGAGCACGGCGGCUUGCUGUGACCCCCACCUUCCCUUUCAGGUUUCAGAAGCUCCUUCAGAUCAGUUCCCACCCCAAAGAAGAGUCUUUGCCCCUAGAAACGUCCACAAAACCCUGACACGUCCGGGCUGCAACUUCGUGCGGCCCUCGCCGCUCUGUGCGCAGGCUCUGAGCGGGUGAAAAUGAAAGUGCCUCAAGCAGAAGCAAAAGUGAAAGCGGCCGGCCUCCCUCCGAGCAGCUUGGACGUGCCACCACCCGGCAUCCUCUCCGGGGACGGGGACAGCACAGACACGUGGUAAAAUGGACGGAUGGACGGAGCCCAGCACGGCCAGGCCCAGGUGAACCCACGGCGGGUGUUAUCCGUGCCCUGAAAUCCUCGGGAAGGGGUUCGCAGCCUGUCCUGGUGAUUUCCUACCCUGGCAGCGCGGGAGAGGAGCGGUCCCCGUUGCAGCUACUCACGCCGUAAAUCGGGAGCCGCACGCUGCUGCUCCUCUCCCCGAUUUUGGGCUCCUGCAGGAGCUUCUCCCCGACACUUCUCCCCGACACGAUCCUCGCUUGGCUCAGCCACCUUCAGGCGACCUCUGGAUGGCCUCACCACGCACCACUUCCAAAGCCAGCCCAGCAGGAAAACCCACGGCUUCUGAACCGCCUCCUAGCACAGGCUCGCACAGAGAACGAGGUUUGCUUUUCUUUUAGCCUUAAAAUUUUUUUUUUGCAGGCAUUUAAACGCUGUCAGAUCUCCAAAAAUCUGCCACCCAGCGUGGUCAGCGCUCGCUGAACACAGCCACAGAGCUCAAGGAUUCACGUACUGCAAGGUGAGGCUCCUCAGGACCAUCCUCCCGUCUUUUUUGGCUCUGCUGACGUCCACUUUCUCUUCCUUUUUCAUUUCCCAUCCCGCUUUUGCUGCUCUCGCUCCUUAGCCGCUUGAUUUUACUUCCCAAUCACCCCCAGCGCGCGGCAAUUACUGUGACAAUUACACAAACUGUCCCUUUUAAUCCAGCGUUACAAAAUACCUGCCCGAUCAGCUCUUUACCUGCAAACUCCUUUCAGCUCCAGCCCGCACGGCCCAGCGUUUAUAAUGAGCCUUGCUUCGUUAGUGCUGAAGCGCUCCUGCGCAGAGAAGCCGCUUGACUCUUUCAGCGCGAGGCCAAAAUUGGGCCAAAUUACGCCAGGAUAGGUGCACUUGCCAACUGAUCACCUGAGGCAGGCCCCAGAGGCCGCUCCGUGCAGCACGGCAGGGCGGUCCCCGCCACGGAGACCACGUCCAGGCGCUACGGCACGGUUAGCAUGGCACUGAAGCAGGGAACGAUUUGCCUUGGCUCAUUUGAGCCUCUCGGGGUUUUUGUUUUUUUUUUUUUUUGCAUUUUAAUGUGGGUUCUUCAAAGCCUUCCAGUCUCAAAAUACGCCCUCCUACACCAGCCAAGCGCCUCGUUCCUGCUCCUCCUGCCAUUUUCGGCCACUUUUCCAGCUUUACUGCUUCCCAGUGCCUUUUGCUUUUGCUUUCUUGCCUUUUUCCUUCCCGUUCUUUCCACCGUGAGACGCAGGCAGCUGUUUCUAACCUCGUAUUUUCAGGGGUUUUACUGAGCAGAGCCGGCUGAACCUGCCUCCUGGGGACGGAGGGGCUCCCAUAACAAGCUGCCCUGUCUGAAGGUCUCACCACAGGAGGCUGCGGACGGCAGCACGAGCGCUCCGAAGGAGUGCUGGAUGGCCGGCCCCUUGACACGUUUUUCCUAAACUGGCGGCUCCUGGAGUCAGGGCACCAGCUAAGACGGAUGCGGGGGCUCAGCUGGGAUAUCCCAGUGAAUCAGCACGAGGUUUUACCCCUGGUCAGCACCAGAUGACGGAUGCGUGCUGCCACAUCAGCGCGACCACGGGUAGGACGCAUCUCCUACUCUACGCGGCGCUUUCGUGGGCAAGACCAGCAGCUUAUCGAGGCGAUUGUCCUGCAACUGCUACGGGGCUCCUGCAAGUAAAUCGCUGUAACAGAUACUCACAAAGCACCUCUCUGCAGUGGAUGUCUCCUCGUGCUCACACAGAGAGAGCCACGGGCUCGCACGGAAGCUCAAGAGCCUCGUAACUGUGAGGUCUUCCCCCAGAAAUGCUCGCUUUGAGCAUUCAAAUUGCUGUGGCAAGGGGAAAUUCUUGGGUGGCACGGCUCUCUGGGUUGUAUUUAAAAUCACCUCUAGGAUCAGGUAGUGCAGACACCUUGGCCGCAAGAGCAUUUUAAAGGCUUUUCAUCUCAGUAUCAGAGACUGCCAAUAUUUAUUUAGAUCACCUUUUAGGACUUGGGCUAUGCAGGGUGCUGAGGCAGCCUCUCAGGAGAGCUACCUCUCUGCCCAGAGGAUCAGCGACCUUUCCAGAGUCAGCUCGGUGUGAUUUUUUUUUCCCCUGGAGGAUGAUGCAGCCUUAGGACAGCUCACAGAGAGGUGGGGGGCCCUGUCCUUGGCUGGGCAAAGCCACAGCUGCCCCAGUCUGGUGUUGGUGACGAUCUACACAGAGCCAGAGUCCUGCUCCAGAGAAACCUUUCCUUGAUUUUAACAUUUCUUUGAUUUUAUAACCUCCCUCCCGUUACCUUCAGCUGCUCACGUAGUUGAGGAUGUGGUUAUUACGGGUUUUCUCUCGUUAAUACACCACGCAGGCAGUUGUUGCUGCCUUUCAUCUCAGCAGAUGCUCCUCCAAGGCCUCUCCUGCUGCAGCUCCCCCCUUCUGUCACCUUCUAAUGGGUUGCCAGCUGUCGUGGAUUCAUCCAGCUGCAGGUGUCCGCACGGACUCUUCCCAAAUCUAGCACUACGACAGGUAUUUUAGCACUUGGACAACCAGAGAUCCCUUUAAAAAUCAGCCAGCCCAACAGCUCUCCAUGCUAGCGCACUCUGGCCUAAAACAGUCCGCCUCGAUGCCGUGGGAGAGCUGGAGGUGCGUGCACAGCAAGCCCCAAACCCGCUGCCGACAGGUUUACCUUUGCUCUGUGAUAUUUCACGGAUCCCUCGCUUGCAGCCCGCAGGCUCUACGUUGAAACCCACACGUUAAAACCCAGGCAACCACAGCGUACCCGCAGAGCAAAUCCAGCCCUCCCGAGAAACGUCGCCACGUGGGCUGGAGUUCCUCCGCGGCUGCUCAGGACACGCCAAAAAAAAAUGAUGCCAGUGAUGUCCUGGACUCAAAGUUCAAGCUCUGCAGCGAUGCCUAGGGUUUCCCAACAUACAGGAGGCUUUGUGAGAGCAACGCUUCACGUGUUAAAAACAACUCUCGCAAUGAACAGCUCCUUCAUGGGCUUUCCAUUUGGGGAAAGAAAAAAAAAAAAAAGCGUUUGUGGCUGGAAAAGUGGGCUUAUAGUUACCCUGCCUGAAAAAAAAUGCAGCUACACUCCUCCAAACUGCCAGUCACUUUCUUAUUUUUGCCUUUGAGCGAGCCUGAGAACCUCCAAAACAGGGCCAGAACCUUCCUUUGGCUUGCUUCUUCUGCUCUCACCAUGGAUGCUCUUCUUUUAGAGUUGACUUUCUUUCUUGUUCUGCUUGAUUUGGCAACAAACCUCUACCCACACGUUCUCUAUGGACCCUUUGGUUACGGAAAUUACCAAGACACACUUCCAGUUUCAAGUACAAAACAGAACCGAAGCCAACCGCUAAAAUCUACCCCACGUGCAUGCCAGCUUCAGACAUCCACCAGAACUUUCAGGUAGUAAUUUCACCAUCAGAAAGAACAAAAAGCCAAAGAGUGCCAAAACUGCAUUUACCAAGAAGGACAAGCAUUUCACUUUCUCGUCUCAAAGUGAUUUUAACCAAUAAAUAUCCGUGCUUUAGCCAACGCUGAAGCGACCAACAUGCGUAUUUCAUGUAAAUAAAACUGGCCCAAUUCCACCAAAACUGUAAUGCCACGGGCAUUUUUCUUGCUGGCUACACUGAUCUUCACAAGCGCUUGCCCCAGCGCUCCUUCUCUUCCCCUGCUGGUACAGUCGAGGCUGAGUAAUACAGAAAAUCAGCAAAUUGCAAUAGAAAAUUAAGUCAAAGAGCUACUUUUAAUCCAGGUGGGUUCAGCAUCUGGACUGCCAACGCAGCUCAGAGUCUGGCAGGACAUGGAUAGGGAGUAUCAGGGGGUCAGUAUUUGGGGACAGGGAACGCUGAAGCUAGCCCUGCUGCUGCAGAAAACAUCAGGUUUAACAGGAACACUAAAAAUAGACCUAACUAGUAUGUAAAACCAGUUUCAGUGCCACGUAAUGCGAUCUCUAGUCCUGGGCAAGCACUUACUUUUCUUCUUAUCAGAGAAGAUAGGGAAUUCUCUGACCGAAUGUUUUUUAAAAUUGGAAAAGAGCAGUUUCUGCGAAAGCAGUCAUUUUCUUGACAAUGUGCUGUAUCUAACCCAUGCAGGUAUAAUCUCCGGGCACAAUCACAGGACAUCUUGCACAGCAGAAGACCUGUGUUUGUCUGCCCCUUCGUUACUGUACGCACCGUAACGAGAUCCACCGAGCAACGCUGAGAAAUGUCCACUCCGAAACAAGCAGCGACCGAACGCUCGGGGUAAAACCACCGGGUUGAUGUCUGACCUGAAUCCCACAGAGCUGAGCUUUACCCAUCUCCUGCAUCCACCACGAGUGCCAAGCCCCUGGGCUGCUGACUAUUCUGCACCACGCAGGCUUUCUUGCAUUU